rnacentral:rRNA from 1 species
AUUCUCCGAAUCUGCGAACGGCUCCGCACACCAGUUGUAAACCAUAGCAUGGACCGGGAGGCGGCGAUGCCUGGCCUCCGGGCUGGGCUAGUCCCUUCCGAAAUGGAUAAUCGUGGUAAUUCUGAGACUAAUACAUGACGUAAACGUAACCCUCGUUCGGCCGGGCCUUCGGGCUGGGCUGGGCUUGGGGGACGCGUGAGAUAGGGCUUGGUUCAAUCCGGAGAUAGCGCGCGUUCGCACCGCCGUACAAGAGGGCCGCUUUCGAACGCUGGUGCCGUUGCCCCCUUCAGUGGGGGUGGCGUGCCGGCCUAGGGGCGGUCCUGGCGGGGCUUGCGUCGUGCAUCUGACCUAUCAACUAGAUGGCAGCGUAAGGGACAUGCUAUGGUAACAACGGGUACAGAGGAUUAGGGUUCGAUCCUGGAGAGUGGGCCUGAGAGAUU